GGGUCUCCUGGGCUGUGCCCCUGCCGACAUGUCCCGGCAGCGUGUGAGCCCCUCUGGUCCUUGGUUUCCCGGCGUGAGGAUCGGGGACAGCGGGUUCUUGUCCUUGCCCCGGGGGAUCCGCAGCGUCCCCAUCAUACAGCCGAGGAGGCUGAGCCCGGAACGAUGACCUUGGCGUGCAAAGGCCUGCUUUCCCGCUAGGGUAUCCGGUCGGGCGGAGGCACGGUCCACUGCACUGGCCUGGAGCGCUAGCGCCGCUUCUGCUGGAUCGGGGUGUGUCUAAGCGCCGCUGUCCUGGGGAAGGACCCCGAGAGCGGGUCGGGCUGGUAGCGCGUGGGUUCUUGAUUUCCUGCAGGAAUAUUUCACCGCGUGAGUCCUGGUGACCCUGAGAGUCCGUUCAUUGCAGCGGGGGCAGUGCCACAGGGACGGGCUUAGGGGAGAAGAAGCAGCGGGAGAAACGGGCAGGGCAGCUUUGGCUCUGGAAACGCCGUGGGAAGGAAGGAGCCAACGGGGCUGCUGCCCGCUCGGAGAAAGAAAGUAAAAAGCUCAUGCCUGCGGAAAGUAACGGAAAUGCUCCACCGAGAGCCCUUGGUCCUGAGGGUUUUUAACUCUUUUGUGCAGGAAUCAUGGGUGCGGUCUUAGGGGAGGGUUCCAGCAGGAGAGUCAUUGGUUUUCCAGGUGUGUCCUGCAAUAUGUUGAUUACUUGGUUAGCUCCAUGGCUUUGCUUUUAUCUUGGGUCUGUCGGGUUUUUGUUAUUUGUUCCCUUGACUUCAUCCGUCCUUGGGUUUGGCUGGCACAAAUGGCACUGAUUGGGUCUCUGUUACCUGUCUCCCUGACCAGGCUGAUUUAAGCUAUUUAUUCUCUCUGCUCUGGGGGAGGGGGGGGAGGUAUAAACCAUUUGCCCUCACGUGUCCUUGGUUAGGGAAGAUUACGUCUUGCAGUUUACUAGCUGGCUGUAAAUUGGUCAAAUUGUUGGCCUUGUUCAAUGAUCCUGCCUCAGUGUUCCCAUCCCACUUGCCAAGGAAUUUUCCUAGGUUCUUCCCAUCCUGCCUCACCACUGUUGAGAGCUGUGUGUCAGGAGCGGGACCUACACAUCUCCCCCACCUUUAUUACACCCUCCAGGGCAGGUGCUGUCACACUUUACAGGUAACAAACGGGCCGGGCGAUUUUCUCCAGUCGUGAUGCUGGUCCGUUGCUGGGUAGGGAGGAAUAAACCCAAGUUUGACUUGACUGACAGAGCUGCUUGGGGGAAUAUUAGCUAACAUUGAGUGAUUACAGCUAAACCCUCUCACAAAGGGGCAAAGUUUACCACCAGGAGAUGAUGGGGAGGGGUGUCACAGCCCUGGCGGUCCCGGCUCAGGGAUCUUUGCACCCCUUCAUUUACUCAAGGAGCAAGAAACAGAUUUAACAUCUUUCUUUUUUGUAACAGCUUCACGGAGAUAUAACUCACUAUACAGUUCACCCAUUUAAAGUGUACAAUUCACCCUAACCGGUUUGGCUCAGUGGAUAGAGCUUCAG